ensembl:lncRNA novel transcript
AGUGAGGCAGUGGGGGGUUAGCAAGUUGAAGGCAGAUAAUAUGGGGCUCUGUGGGCCAUCAUGAGGACUUCAGCUUUUACCUCGGCAUGAGAUGGGAAACCACUGGAGAAUCUAGAGGAGAAAGGGAUGAUCUGCCCUUCAACAGGAUCAUCCAGGCUACUCCGGUGAAUAUAGACCAUAUGAGGGCAAAGAUUGGAAGCUAGGUGAGCAGUUAGAAGGCUACUGCAAUAGCUAUGUGAGAGAGAUGAACUAGGAGAGUAGCAGUGGAGAUCUGAGAUACGGCAAAGUCUAGAUAUAACACAAAGGAAUAGCCGACAGAAUUUGCUUUUGGAUUGGCUGUAUUGUAGGAGAGAAAAAAUAGGGUGCAUUUUUGGGUUGAGCAAAGAGAAGAAUGAAGAUUCCUUGUACUGAGAUGGGGAAAACUGCAGGAGGAGUGGGUCUGAAAGAGGCAAGUUGGUUGCCAUGUUGUGAGCAGCCCCCUUGAAAGGCCCAUGUGAUGAUGAAUUGAAACCUCCUGUCAACAGCCAUGUGAGUGACCUAGGAAGCAGAUCCUGCAGCCCAGUCAUGCUUCAGAUGAGGCAUAUCUGAGGCACAGAGAGGUUAAGUUGGGGACUGAAGUGUGGCUCCAGAAUCUAAGUUUCUAACUGCCAUGCUAUGGUAAGUGAGAUUGGUAAGUGCACAUGAGGAACUCGUGAGCCUCAAAGUCAUUCAUCAAUGCAGCAUUCAAUGAUGGCUUACAUGAAGGUAUAGAGGUAGGCUCAUCACUUUUACCCAAACUCAAAAAACUGAAUUUUUAUUAAGAAA